GCUAUUAUGAUGAGAUACAACCAUAUUCAGUUAUCCCUGUCUUAAUCGUCAUGUCGAUAUUUCGAAUAUCUGAUAAUAGC
rnacentral:snoRNA from 1 species